rnacentral:rRNA from 1 species
GACGAACGCUGGCGGCGUGCCUAAUACAUGCAAGUCGAACGCAGUGGGGACGGGUGAGUAACACGUGGGUAACCUCCCAUCAGAGGGGAUAACACUUGGAAACAGGUGCUAAACCGAUACUGAUGGAUGGACCCGCGGUGCAUUAGCUAGUUGGUGGGGUAACGGCUCACCAAGGCCACGAGGCAGAGCGGACCUGAGAGGGUGAUCGGCCACACGUAGACUGAGACACGGCCCAUACUCCUACGGGGGGCAGCAGUAGGGAAUCUUAGGCAAUGGACGAAAGUCAGACCGAGCAACGCCGCGUGAGUGAAGAAGGUUUUCGGAUCGUAAAACUCUGUUGUUAGAGAAGCGGUAACUAACCAGAAGGCCACGGCUAACUACGUGCCAGCAGCCGCGGUAAUUC